UCUCAGGCUGUGACCCUCUAGAGGGAAGCGCUUUCUGUGGUCUGAAAGAAAAGAAAGUGCUUCCUUUUAGAGGGUUAUCGUUUGAGA
ensembl:miRNA